CUCGACUUGCCGUUCGAACACCAUGAUCAGGCCACAUAUAGGCUAAUUUUCUAUGCUUAGAUAUACGGGGAAACCCAAGCCCUUGGGCGGAUGGGUUGUAUGGCUAAAUUGAGUAUU
rnacentral:ribozyme from 1 species